CACCACCACAUUCACCUCCCCCACCGAUUUAUCCAUAUCUGUCUCCACCGCCCCCACCAACACCAGUUUCUUCUCCACCACCCACUCCGGUCUAUUCCCCUCCUCCCCCACCUCCUUGUAUAGAACCACCACCACCUCCACCGUGUAUAGAGUAUUCACCUCCUCCUCCUCCACCAGUCGUUCAUUAUAGCUCUCCGCCUCCACCGCCAGUCUACUACAGCUCUCCGCCACCUCCACCAGUCUAUUACAGCUCUCCACCUCCGCCACCGCCGGUUCAUUACAGCUCUCCGCCACCACCAGAAGUCCAUUACCAUUCUCCGCCUCCAUCUCCAGUACACUACAGCUCUCCACCACCGCCACCAUCAGCUCCAUGUGAAGAAUCUCCUCCACCAGCACCGGUAGUUCACCACAGUCCACCACCGCCCAUGGUUCACCACAGCCCACCACCUCCAGUGAUCCACCAAAGCCCACCACCGCCAUCUCCUGAAUAUGAAGGACCACUACCACCGGUCAUCGGCGUAUCAUACGCAUCUCCUCCACCACCGCCGUUCUAUUGAUUCUUUUGGAAAACACGAGACUGAAACGAUUGACGUGACACGAACAGAUCGAAACACUAUACGACGUCGUUGUCAAUUCUUACAAAAAGAAAAAAAAAAAGAAAUUAUAAGAAAAAGAAAUGGCUGAUUAAAGAGUUGUUUGUUGUAUAGAGGAUGAGUCUCUUUUGUGUUUUCUAUUAAUUUUAUUUUUUUCCCUCUUUUAUUUGGAUUUCUUAGCACAUUAUUCGCUUUAGAUUUUGUAUUUUAUAUAUGCGAAGAGCUUAGGC
rnacentral:lncRNA from 1 species